AUUGAACGCUGACGGCAUGCCUUACACAUGCAAGUCGAACGGCAGCACGGGCUUCGGCCUGGUGGCGAGUGGCGAACGGGUGAGUAAUACAUCGGAACGUGCCCUGUUGUGGGGGAUAACUAGUCGAAAGAUUAGCUAAUACCGCAUACGACCUGAGGGUGAAAGCGGGGGACCGGUAACGGCCUCGCGCGAUAGGAGCGGCCGAUGUCUGAUUAGCUAGUUGGUGGGGUAAGAGCCCACCAAGGCGACGAUCAGUAGCUGGUCUGAGAGGACGAUCAGCCACACUGGGACUGAGACACGGCCCAGACUCCUACGGGAGGCAGCAGUGGGGAAUUUUGGACAAUGGGGGCAACCCUGAUCCAGCAAUGCCGCGUGUGUGAAGAAGGCCUUCGGGUUGUAAAGCACUUUUGUCCGGAAAGAAAUCGCGCUGGUUAAUACCUGGCGUGGAUGACGGUACCGGAAGAAUAAGCACCGGCUAACUACGUGCCAGCCGCCGCAGUAAGAC
rnacentral:rRNA from 1 species